CUACUAAUAUCCCCCGCCCUGGAAAAAAAAAAAAGCUUGUCAGAGGUUUGGUGGGGGGAAGAAGAAUCCCAACUUUGGAAGUGGAUUAAAGAGUCUGAAAGCAGUGAUCGCAUUCCUGGUGGAAGAACAACACUGCAUUUCCUAACAUACGCAUUUCCCAACACACUGGACUCAUCUCAUCAGACCUGCUUUCUGCCUCCCUCAUCUGGAAGGUUCUCCUCUGGCUGACGCGUUUGCUCCAAGCCGCCCUCCUGCAUCUGAAAUGGGGUUUUUCUCUCAGCCGCGCCGUCUCGCAAUCACGGAGGCUGCCAAAUGACACCUGGAGAGGACGUGGACAGAGGACUCGGUAUCCAGACUGGACUAAAGGAGAGACUAGGCACUGCAGACACAGCACAGUGUCCCACUGAUUUCGCCCUGGAGAAACAGAGAAGCAGCCCCAUUAAAGGUACAUGUAACAUUCUCCAUUACAGGCCUGGUUCCCCAGUGGAGCGGCUGACAGACUGGUUUUGUGUGAUGCAACAAUAAAAGACUUUGAAGGAACAAUUACGGUAUGAACUUUCUAAAAGACACAGUGGAUAUGCUUAC